rnacentral:lncRNA from 1 species
GUGGUUUUACUGGUUUGUUUAUAGUGCGUCAUUACUGGUACCCAUCAUAAGUUGACAGUCCGUUUGUAAUGUUAGCAAACAUGAUUUUUAUUGCUUUUACUGUUUCAAAAAUCAACUGUUUAAUGAUUGAAAUACAUUAACAAGUGAUCAAUCUUUCAUUCUAUUCCGUGUUUCUUUUUCUUUUAAAUGGUAGAUUAAAUGCAGAGACAAACACAACGUUAGGUGCGUCAUUACUGGUUCCUCGGGGAUAUUUGUACUUUUUUA